rnacentral:rRNA from 1 species
CACGUAGGGCGCAAGCGUUGUCCGGAAUUAUUGGGCGUAAAGAGCUCGUAGGCGGUUUGUCGCGUCUGCUGUGAAAAUCCAGGGCUUAACCCUGGACCUGCAGUGGGUACGGGCAGACUAGAGUGCGGUAGGGGAGAUCGGAAUUCCUGGUGUAGCGGUGAAAUGCGCAGAUAUCAGGAGGAACACCGGUGGCGAAGGCGGAUCUCUGGGCCGUAACUGACGCUGAGGAGCGAAAGCAUGGGGAGCGAACAGGA